ACGGAAGGCAGCAGUGGGGAAUAUUGCACAAUGGGCGAAAGCCUGAUGCAGCGACGCCGCGUGAGUGAAGAAGUAUCUCGGUAUGUAAAGCUCUAUCAGCAGGGAAGAAAAUGACGGUACCUGACUAAGAAGCCCCGGCUAACUACGUGCCAGCAGCCGCGGUAAUACGUAGGGGGCAAGCGUUAUCCGGAUUUACUGGGUGUAAAGGGAGCGUAGACGGUUUGGCAAGUCUGAAGUGAAAUGCGGGGGCUCAACUCCUGAACUGCUUUGGAAACUGUCGAACUAGAGUGCAGGAGAGGUAAGUGGAAUUCCUAGUGUAGCGGUGAAAUGCGUAGAUAUUAGGAGGAGCACCAGUGGCGAAGGCGGCUUACUGGACUGUAACUGACGUUGAGGCUCGAAAGCGUGGGGAGCAAACAGGAUUAGAUACCCUGGUA
rnacentral:rRNA from 1 species